UACGGGGGGGGGUAAGCGUUGUUCGGAAUUACUGGGCGUAAAGGGCGCGUAGGCGGCCUUCUAAGUCGAACGUGAAAUCCCUGGGCUCAACCCAGGAACUGCGUCCGAUACUGGGAGGCUUGAAUCCGGGAGAGGGAUGUGGAAUUCCAGGUGUAGCGGUGAAAUGCGUAGAUAUCAGGAGGAACACCCGAGGCGAAGGCGGCUCUCUGGGUCGUACCUGACGCUGAGGCGCGAAAGCGUGGGGAGCGAACGGG
rnacentral:rRNA from 1 species